UUUCUGAAAAAGGGUUAUCAAAGUAUUGAAAAGUAAAUCAUCAUGAGAAAUUUCAGACAAAUUUAGGCAAAAAUAAGCUGGAAUCUCUAGGAAUACAACCGUGAGUGCCACUUACUGAUGAAGGUCUGACUUAGUAUAUAUUUCUGCAAAGUCUACAUUAAGAUGAGACUCAACAGCAGGAGAAGUGAUCUCCAACAUCCAUGUUGCUGGAUUAUAUCCAUCUCUAAUCUUCGGAACUCCUGUAAUAGCCUGAAAAAGGUUUAUACACAAUCAGUAAGAUUACUGGCAUCAUACUAAUUCAAGAAUUUAUACAAUGUAAUAUUAGUGGUUUACCUCAAAGUACUCAACAAGAUUCUGAGAAUUUCGACCAAGGGGACCACCAUAUAUCACUUGGCCACCUCUCUUCAUCAAAAGCAGCUGAAGUCAAGAUGUAGCUCGUGGGUUAGCAUUGUGCCUUUGAAACCAUUACACAAAGUAAACUCCCACAUCGGUCCAAAAGAUUACAACAGUUCGCCCUGUAUCUACUGUGUUUCUCACGGUACGCAUAACAACUGCUGCAGCUCUAGCAUCAAGACCAGUUGUUGGCUCAUCCAUAAAAAUAAUGGAAGGAUUUGCAACCAAUUCCACAGCAAUGGAUAUGAUUGAUGUGGUACAAGAGGAGGGAAUUGGAAUUUACAUGUGGCAUAUCAAUGUAAUAAUUCACAUUUUGAAAUGCAAGUGACAGAGGCCGAAAGGGCAGCACCAUUCCCUUCUUGGAUUUUGUAUUCUCUGCAGCUUUAAUAGUUGAGCUGUGUUCCAUGUUUCUUACUUCCAUAUCAAUACCUGCAAAUAAUUGCAAUUAUCUGUGUGUUUAUUGCCAAGAGAGCUUAGAGUGAAUUGCACAUUACUAAUACAACAUAUGUUAUGUUUUUUAUGAUCUCAUUGUAGAAAGUUGCUUAUACUCUUCAUUUGAAGAAAAAAUCAAAUUAUACCUUCAAACAAUUUAGCAAGUGAAGCUGAACUCUUCUCCGUAGUUGCUGUUGCCUUUUUUUCCACUGAGGAUGAAGUAGAUGUCUUUUUCUUUUGGUCUUCCUCUUCCACUAUAAUAGAUCUAGAGUUUCCAAAUGCUGCAAUUUAUUUUCAAAGCAAUAUCAGAGGAUGUUUUUAGAUAGUGGAUUUUUCGUAUGGUCAUGGAUGUGGAGGGAGAGUGAUCAAGAAAAGUUAUAGGCUAAACCAUUAAGAAGGAUUUAGAUUUAAAUAAUUUAUCUAUAGACAUAAUUUACAAUAGGACAUUAUGGUAUGUCAUUUGAUCCAUGUAGCCUCGCCUACCUUGUAGGAAAAAGCUUUUGCAGUAGUUUAUUAGAAAGAACUUAGAGCAAUUUAAGAAACGAAGUCUUAUACCAUGCAACACAAAGAAAGAUUAGUACGGAAACUUACGAUUCAAAUAAGUUAGAGCCAGAAUGAAACAAAUAUUGAAAACCAGGGAAAAUCCUAAAAGGGCUCCAACGGAUAUCCAGUACCAAUAGUCUUCUGUGAAUAUGCCUCUGGCCCUAAGAAAAGCCUUCCCAACUGUGGGCUCAGGAAUACUUGGGUCAAUAUUGGGCUGUGAAAAGUGAAGAAUCAGCAACAAACUAAUAAUUAUGUAGUGAUUAUAAGAUUAAAUAAACACGAUAAAAUCUUACAGCACUCCAUCUUUUGUCUAGGAACUCGUUGAUGGCUAUGGCAUUCAUGCCAUACAUCAUGGGUGAAGUGUAGUAGCACCAUAUCAUCCAUGAGUCAAUAUCAUCUAUAAAUGGAGAGAGAGGUUGGAGUGGUCAAUUUAAAUGAAACAUUUCACAUGAAAAAUGAAGAAUCUCAGUUAACAUUGAAAUAUUUCUUCAUAGUAAACUGUUACUCACUUCUUGAAACAGUAAAUCCACUUAGGAGGAAAACAACUAAAAUUGCAAAGGAACCAAUUGUAUUUGCCACAACUUUUGUUCUUCCAACUGCAGAAAUGAAGCGGAAUAGGGACAGAGCCAUUUGAUUCACACAGAAGAAUACCAAAAAUUGACGAAAAAACCUGUAACAAGAUUUUAUAUGCAUCAUUGAACAAAACUUGCAAGUUAAUAACUCUGAAGAGUAAAGAAUGACACAAGAGUAUGUCAAUUAUUUCAUUUCUAUGUUAUUGAGAAACUCACUAUCUACACAUUACAUUCUCAUACCUACUAGCUGCAGGAGCAAAGCCAAUUGUAUAAUAAGUGAAGAUGAUCCAUAUUCCUGACUCUAACAGAGAGAGAGGAACUCUGAGGACCCAGAUGGGCAAUGCAAAAGCCCAUGCUGGAUAAAACAGGAAAUCUCUCUGCUUGUAAAAAACGGGAAGUCUAUUAAUGGUCAUUGCCAGCUCUGCCACUCCAUUGAACAUUACAUUAAGGAGGCUGAAAAAUAGUGCACCAUAGUAUUUUCCUGCACCUACAAGUUGACCCUGCUUCAUUUCUGUUCUUAAAAAUACUGUCAUUGUAAUUAUAGCUAUUAUAAUAAUCUGAAAUGUCUUGAAUAUGUAUACAAAAUGGUUGCGCUUCAUCAAAAGCCACUCUCUUGAAAGGCAUGCCUUGAAGAGUUCCCAUUUGGAGAUGCCAUACUUUUCCUUCACCAAUGCAGCGCGAUGUCUUUCGUUUGGAUCAAAUGGAACUUGAAUCUUUUCACGAAGUUGCUGACCGAUGCUGUAAAUGUUGAAAUGGGCUACAAACUCAGGCACAGUGACAUAUUGGUAAGGUUGCAGAAGAGCGAUUAUCAUAGUAACAUCCAUGAUAUGGACCAUCUGCCUCAUGAACCUGACAAUUUGGAAGGUUGUGGAACUAUCUAAACCAGUUGAAAUUUCAUCCAUGAAGAAGGCUUUUGCAGGGCCUACCAGCAUCUCACCUGAAUUCAUGUUAUGUGGAAAUUAUUACUUGUGAGCUGCAAGAAUGAUGACUUAUCUUAAAGCUCAAAGUUUGUGGAUUAUAGUAGAAAAUGAAAGUAAUCCACCUUCGUUAUCAGAAAACCCAAUAGUAACUUAAAUGAGGAGUCACAAUGAUGAAGUGGCAAAAGAAGGAUGAGCUUUUGUCAUUAUCCAGACAACACUACAUGAUGAUGUAUUUAUCAAACUUCUGACUCUUAAAACUACAAAAGAGGCAUGGGAUAAACUGCACGAGGAGUUCCAAGGGAGUGAAAGAACGAAAAGAAUGUAAGUGUUGAACUUAAGGAGAGAGUUUAAAGUUUUAAAAGUGUUAGAAAGUAAAUUUGUCAAAGAUUUAAUUGACAAACUUUUGAAGAUUAUUACCAAAUUAGAUUACUCGGUGAAAAACUUAGUGAUCAAUGCAUUGUGGAGAAAAUCUUGGUGUGUCUUCCGAAGAGAUUUGAAUCCAAAAUCUCUUCUCUUGAAGAAAAUAAAGAUUUUUCUCAAAUUUCAAUUGUGGAGCUUGCCAAUGCUCUACAAGCUACUAAACAAACAAAACCUUUAAGGAUGGAAGAAAAUAUUGAAGGUGCUUUUGUUGCAUAUACAAAAGGCAAAGAAUAGGAAAAAAACAACAACAGAAAAGGUUGGGAAAAUAAGUUUCCACCAUGCCGUCACUGUAAGAAGAACAACCAUACUGAAAAUUUUUGUUAGUUUAAGCCAAGCAUUAAAUGUAAGGUCUACAAUUAGUUUGGUCACAUGGAGAAGGUUUGUAAAAAUAAAACAAGCCCACAAGGAACAUCAGUCCAAAUUGUGGAGCAUGAAGAGCAACCUGAGGAACAUCUAUUUACUGUUACAUCUUAUGCAACGAGUUAAAACAAAGAGACAUGGCUCGUAGACAGUGGAUGCACAAAUCAUAUGACUCAUGAUGCUACAAUUUUCAAGGAAUUAAAUCAGUUCCAAAUCUUCAAAGUCACCAUAGACAAUGGAAAAAAGUGUUGAUGUCAAAGGAGUGAGUGAAGGGUGUGGGAAUAAUAAGUGAACUGUGAAGAAAGAGGGAAGAGGGAAGGGUAUUAAAGGAAUUUUCAAUAUAUGAUGAGUGUAUGGAACAACUGGAAGGGUGCAGGGUGCAAUUGUCCUAAUUGUGUAAAAUGUAAAUGUGUAUCCUUGAUUGCAUGAAUCCAAAUCCAAGUCCAAUUCCGAAUGGUUUUGGUACCCAUAUCCAGCUUGCAUGGACAUUGGCAAAACCCUUAUUAAUUACGUAUGGUUAUAGCUUAUAGGUAUCCAUCCAAAGCAUGAUGACUCCAGUUGAAUGUAAAAGGAAAAAAAUGCAUGAGUAUGACAUAGUAACUUGAUGGAUUUAGUUUUCAUAGUUCUUAU